CGGCGAGUAGCGCAACAGGCAGAGGCAAUGGACUUAAAAUCCAUUCAGUGUGGGUUCGAAUCCCAUCUCGCCGACCA
rnacentral:tRNA from 1 species